AGAAAGUCGGGCUCUGGAGUUUGAGCCCCAGUCCUGCCACCAAUUUGCAGCAUGACCUUGGGCACGUGUACUCCAGUCUCCUUGCUGGUGAUAAUGAGUCCCUGUCCCACAGGGUUGUCAUGAGUACACACUGGGAGCAUGUGGGUAAAGUGCCUGGCACACAGCAGGUGCUCAAUAAAUGGCAGCCGUGAUGCGGGUAAAUGUGGGGAAGGCGGAGGGAAGCCAGACCACCGGGGGCCGAGCUUCAUACUUGGUAUGACCCUUUUGAGCAGCCAAACUCUGGCCGGGAAAGUGAAACCAAUUUCCUGACUGUGAGGGGAGCCAGGCCUCUUAAUUCAGUGCGCCGGGUGUGAGGAUGUGGGCCAGAGGCCCGGGCAGUGCAGAGAGCCCAGGAAGGCAGGGAGCCAGGAGGCCCCAGGGCACAGGAAUGGACCCUGUGUGAGGAGGUCAGAACAAAAGGGGCUGCCUGCUUGAGGACCGUGUCUCUAGGAGAUUUUGGAAGGAGGGCUGGGGCACAGUGGAGGGCACGGGCAGACUCCACAAAGACCGUCUGGAAAGGCACGGUCAAGGUGUGGCCCAGGCCAGACCCAAGACAGCUGUAGGGGGCAGGCCGGCAGCCUCUGUGCCUUCCCUUGGAGAAGCCAGCAUGGCCUCCUUGGCCCCCAGGAACCUGGUCAUUCCUGUGCCCCUGCCCACCCAUGGCUCAGGCACUCUGGUACUUCACUGAGCCAGCAAACCCCAUCCCAGCUCAAACAAGCCCCCGGCCCCAAGCCAGGCCCAAGUGCCUUCGCAGCCUGCAGACUCCAAGCCCGUUCAGGCCCUUUCCAGCUGUUGACAUUGCUGAGGGGCCUUGCGGGAGCUGAUGUCAUUUACAUAAAUAGUGUCACUGCCGUAAACCCAGCCAGUGCCCCUCCCCCUCCCCCUGGAAAACGUCAUAAAAAGGGCUGGUUCCAAGUUUCCAAAAGGAAACUCUCUGGGAGGUUUUGCGUUUGCGAUGCCUCCUCCAACAGGCAGCUCCAGCAUGAGGCGGUGACCACCCGGCUUGGGCUUCUCAGGGGUGUCCCUGGGCCCACUGCCUUCCGGAUGGGCCAGCCCCACGCUGGGCAGGGGCAGGGGCAGGGGCAGAGACAGGCAGCAGCAGGGGCUUCCUCUCCUCUCUCCACAGGCGAUGUCCCGCGAGCGGAUCCACAGGCUCUGGUCACCGCGGCGGAUGCGGCUCGUGCCCUGCUUAUACACGGAGAUGAUGUUCACCGUGAACUUCCACCAGUCCCCCGCCUUGUCCGCCUUCAGGAUGUGGAUCUGGACGGCUGCAAGGAAGCACAGGCAGACGGGUGGGCUCCCAGCUGCUGUGGCUAGGUCCGCCCUGCCUGAGCCUGGGGAGAAGGGAAAGGAGACCCAGCCCCAGGAAGUGACUGCACAGAGUGGCCCAUACAGGAGCGCGUGGGUGGUGGCAAGCUGAUCGUAGACCCCCACCUGCUAACAACAGGGCCAAGAAGCCUUGCCUCCCACGCUGUGAGGGUGCCACCCAGCACUGCCGUCGGGACAAGCCAUCUCCUGGCCUUGUCAAGGCCCACUUUGUCCAGGAAGCCUACAGUAUUUUCCCUAGUAGAAGGACUUCCCCAAAUGGAGCAUGCAUCAGAAUCCCCUGGCCGGCUUGUGAAAAUACACUGCUGGGCCCCGCCCCAGAGCUUCAGAUUGAACAGAUCUGGGCUGGGCCAUGGAGUAGACUUGAGCCCUCCUGAGACAGGAGCAGCAGCUUGAAGAAACCAACACACAGGCAAGCUCUGUGGCUUCAGCAGCCACAAGGAC
rnacentral:lncRNA from 1 species